UUCUUGGUAAUCCAGUGGCUAAGACUCUGCUCUCCCAAUGCAGAGGGUCCGGGUCAGAUCCCUGGUCAGGAAA
rnacentral:tRNA from 1 species